rnacentral:rRNA from 1 species
AAGCGGAGGAAAAGAAACUAACAAGGAUUCCCCUAGUAACUGCGAGUGAAGAGGGAAAAGCUCAAAUUUGAAAUCUCACUGGUUUUCCAGUGCGAAUUGUAGUUUAGAGAAGUGUUUUCGGGGGCAGCUCGGGUAUAAGUCCUUUGGAAUGAGGCGUCAUAGAGGGUGAGAAUCCCGUAUAUGAUCCGAUGUCUGCUCCUAUGUGAUACACUUUCCAAGAGUCAGGUAGUUUGGGAUUGCUGCCUAAAAUGGGUGGUAAAUACCAUCUAAAGCUAAAUAUUGGCGAGAGACCGAUAGCGAACAAGUACCGUGAGGGAAAGAUGAAAAGAACUUUGAAAAGAGAGUUAAACAGUACGUGAAAUUGCCAAAAGGGAAACGCUUGUAACCAGUAUUGUGUGCAUGUAAUCAGCUACACUUACCGCAAGGGACAGUGUAGUGCACUUGCCUGUACACAAGUCAACAUCAGUUUGAACUCGAGGGAAAUGUCCACAGGAAGGUGACUUGGAUUCGUCCAAGUGUUAUAGCCUGUGGUCGAGCCUCGGUUUAGAUUGAGGUCUAUAGUGUUAUUUGGGUUGCUGGUCGCCUGUUGAAAGUUGACUGCAGACAGCUUGCUGACUGUGGCUAAGCGUAGACAGCCCGGCUAGUGUAUCACACAAACACUUUGGAUGUUGACGAAAUGGUUCCAAACGACCCGUCUUGAAACACGGACCAAGGAGUCUAACAUAUAUGCGAGUAUUUGGGUUGCAAACCCUUAUGCGGAAUGAAAGUGAAAAUAAUGGGAUCUUCGGUGCACCAUUGACCGGUCUGGAUUUUUUUGAUGGACCUGAGUAAGAGCAUAUCUGUUGGGACCCGAAAGAUGGUGAACUAUGCCUGAAUAGGGUGAAGCCAGAGGAAACUCUGGUGGAGGCUCGUAGCGAUUCUGACGUGCAAAUCGAUCGUCAAAUUUGGGUAUAGGGGCGAAAGACUAAUCGAACCAUCUAGUAGCUGGUUCCCU